AUACGUAGGGGCCAAACGUUGUCCGGAUUUAUUGGGCGUAAAGGGCUCGUAGGCGGUUCAACAAGUCGGUCGUGAAAACCCGGGGCUCAACCCCGGGACGCCGGUCGAAACUGUUGUGACUAGGGUCCGGUAGAGGUGAGUGGAAUUCUCGGUGUAGCGGUGGAAUGCGCAGAUAUCGAGAGGAACACCAGUAGCGAAGGCGGCUCACUGGGCCGGUACCGACGCUGAGGAGCGAAAGUAUGGGGAGCAAACAGGAUUAGAAACCCCGGUAGUCC
rnacentral:rRNA from 1 species